rnacentral:rRNA from 1 species
GACAGAGGCCUCAAGCGUUAGGCGGAAUCACUGGGCUUAAAGCGUGUGUAGGCGGAUCGUUAAGUGUCUUGUGAAAUCCCACGGCUCACCCGUGGAACGGCUGGGCAUACUGGCGAUCUUGGGCCAACUAGGGGCAACUGGAACAAGCGGUGGAGCGGUGAAAUGCGUAGAUAUCGCUUGGAACGCCGAAGGUGAAAACAGGCUGCUGGGGUUGUGCCGACGCUGAGACACGAAAGCCAGGGGAGCAAACGGG